GUACACACCGCCCGUCGCUACUACCGAUUGAAUGGCUCAGUGAGGCUUUCGGACUGGCCCAGAGAGGCGGGCAACCGCCACUCAGGGCCGGAAAGUUAUCCAAACUCGGUCAUUUAGAGGAAGUAAAAGUCGUAACAAGGUCUCCGUUGGUGAACCAGCGGAGGGAUCAUUACUGAGU
rnacentral:rRNA from 1 species